rnacentral:rRNA from 1 species
UGACUGCGUACCUUUUGUAUAAUGGGUCAGCGACUUAUAUUCUGUAGCAAGGUUAACCGUAUAGGGGAGCCGUAGGGAAACCGAGUCUUAACUGGGCGAAUGAGUUGCAGGGUAUAGACCCGAAACCCGGUGAUCUAUCCAUGGGCAGGUUGAAGGUUGGGUAACACUAACUGGAGGACCGAACCGACUAAUGUUGAAAAAUUAGCGGAUGACUUGUGGAUGGGGGUGAAAGGCCAAUCAAACCGGGAGAUAGCUGGUUCUCCCCGAAAGCUAUUUAGGUAGCGCCUCGUGAACUCAUCUUCGGGGGUAGAGCACUGUUUCGACUAGGGGGUCAUCCCGACUUACCAACUCGAUGCAAACUGCGAAUACCGAAGAAUGUUAUCACGGGAGACACACGGCGGGUGCUAACGUCCGUCGUGAAGAGGGAAACAACCCAGACCGCCAGCUAAGGUCCCAAAGUCAUGGUUAAGUGGGAAACGAAGUGGGAAGGCUCAGACAGCCAGGAUGUUGGCUUAGAAGCAGCCAUCAUUUAAAGAAAGCGU